GUUGACCAGACUGAAUGAGCUCAAGGUGCCUUGGGUGAUGCACGUUGGUCUCCCUCUGGUGGAGAGUCAUCCAGAGAACUACAUCCUGGAGGAAAGACUGUUGCCUUGUCUUCUGCUCCUAUGGGUACAUGCACAGCCAGGGUGGGGCCGAUCUGCAGCUGGCAUGAAUAAAAGGACUUCUUCCCUCAAAAUAUAUUUCUUGAUUUUUUUCUUCUGCAGUGAUGUCAAAAAUCAUUGGCAAUUAGUCUGCACUCCCCAUCCUACAGGCUGGUUGUUCUCUUGGUGGAAGGGUGCUGAGCUACACAUCUGCAUCAUGCCCAUCUCUAUAAGGUCAUUGACAUCUGGGGACUGCAGCCAGCGUUUGUCUGAAAUGUACCUGAACAAAACUAAACAGAAUAUGUGAAAUUUGCCUUCAUAGAAAUGAGCUUCCCAGUCCAAAUAUGGGAUCUCCAGGGUUCCUCAUACACCUGCAGGAGCCAUCAGUGGAAGGUCAGGUCCUGUGGUAGACCAGACCCUAUGGACCACAAUGAUGCCUGUGUCCCUUGGCCUGAAGCAAAGCAGGUUGUCUACAUGUGAUACACAAGAGAAGAGGGUCUACAUCCCCUCUGUGGAAUUAAACAGAAGAUGGGUGUCCUCAUGGUGUGAGACAUCUAAGAUAAAGUCAUGGACUCACUCCCCAUAAGUGCCAAUCUCAUCAGUGAUUGUGAAAGGAGUCUAGACAACUAUCUAGGGAUGGAAUCCAGCAAUUACAGUGCAGCAUCUGCCUCUAAGCAUGUCAUCCUCAGCUCUCUUAUCAGAAGAGACAGCCAGUGUGGGACAUGAAAUGUAGCGUGAUUCAUCUCUCCCAGAGAUGACACCCACUUUUCAUCAGCUGAAUGACAGCUUAAACUCUUCUGAUGUACUGACUCAAUCUCAAUUGUCUGCAAACGGAGCCAGAACACCUAGCUCAGGUGCAGACUGUACACUAAAAAUACCAAAACAUAGGAACAGAAAUUUAGCUGUAUUAAAAUAUAUAUAUAUAUAUAAAGACAAUUAAUGGCAUUUGAGAGGCUGUAGACCGGCAUGGAUAUAUGAAGAGGCCCACAUGUAUGUUUGCGAAGCUCCCAUCAGUACAUCCAUUGGAGCCCAGAGCCCAUCAAAUUCUAGAGUCUACUGUAGGGUGAGAUAAAGAACUUUUUAGGAUCCAUGCCUCACGGACUCCAAAGCUUAAGUGUUUGCAGCUGGAGCUGACUCCCACCUUUGUAGUUAAAUGAGACAGAGCCAACCCAUAGGAGAUGCCCAAGUUUUAGAUGGAAAAAGUCAUCUGAGCUCAACCAAGCACUCAAUGUGCAAAACAGAGCACAGUGGAGGGUUAGAAUCCAGACUCUGUGGUGUUUAAACACUGGUUGUAGGAAUUUGAUGGAUAGUUUAGGAGAUUACUUCACAAAGAUAUAAUAUGAGUAUCCAAGCUGUCCUGGUGACAAAUGUCCUAGCAUCCCAAACAUCCUAAGGUAGCUGACAGUUCUGAUGAACUAAGAAAUUGUAUACAGGUUCCUCCAAAAACAAUCUCUGCAGGAUGUCCAAGUAUGAGCUACAAACCUCACAGCUUUUAUUCUGAGAGCUUCGCAAGGAUUUGUGUUAUAUUCUCAAAAUAUUUUUAAUCGAUUUUUUUUUUCAGUGAUUUAGGAAAAAAAAAAUAAUCAAGCUGUGCUGCUAAUAGACCCUUUGGCAGCUCCAGAAAAGCUGUGGCAUGGUUUAUGCUGAACAGUGGAAAACCUGGGGGAAAAUCAGCCCUGAAAUUAACACUGCAACUUGGGCUUCUGCAGAAUUAGUUUUGAAGGAAGUAAUAUACAUAUGAGUAAGCAAAGGGUAGCUUUCUUUGAGGUAACUGCUGAAUAAUUGGCCUUUUCCAUCCUAGAGGGACAGUAGGUCUCAUAGGGCUUUGAAAACAGAUGUAACAUGAAUUUAUCGCUCCAGAGUGCCAGAGAGGAGGGACAGGUAAUUUCCCAUCCAUGAGGAGAGAUGUUGAGGUGUCCUCCUAUCUUUUGGGACAGCUGAUGAGCCCAGUACUUAGCUUGCCAAGCUGAAGAAGCAGACAGGUCCUUAGCUAGUGAACACUCAUGGGACUCCUUUAUUUGCACAUGAAAUAAGAAGAAUCAUGAUGACACAGCAAAAUAGGAGGGCACAGAGGAAAAAAGUGUGGUCUUUUGCCUUCAGGUCAAGUCCUGUAUCCUGAUGGGAUCAUCAGAUACUACUCUUUUGGAAUGGGAGGUGAAAAAGUCAGAAGUUACAAACUGCCAAAGUCACAUUUUCCUAGGUGACUUAAGUGAUUUCAGUCUUAUUUUUAAGCACAUUUCAAUAGUCAAAAGUGAAGAUAGCCACUCAAUGGUAUUUUCAAGGUGUUUAUAUGGUUUUUAAAAUAUCAGUCUUAAGCUCUUAAGACUUAUUAUGACCUUAGAAGUCCACUGUCUCCUGAUAGACUAAUAAUCAUUAGUUCAAGAAGCACAGUCACAUAAUGUAUGAUGGGAUUAAUUUAAAGAUUUCCCUAUUCAAGAUUAAACAGAGGAUAGCAAGAGAAGAUGAGUGCUUUAUUCAGAGCUUUCUGUAUAGCAUCAGGGAAGGAAGAGGGGGUUUCAUGGAAGCAGAAGCGUUAGCGGGGGGAGACAUUUGGCAUCUGGGUUGGAACCUGACUGCAAUUUUAGCAGCUGGUUUUACCGAAUGGGAGCAAACCUCUCCCAGAACAAAUAAGCCUUAGCAAAUGGAAUUCUAAAUCCCCAGAACAUAAAUAAAUAAAUAAAUAGGAAAAUGAUGGGUGAGAUC
ensembl:lncRNA